CCGGUCUCUUCCAUUAGAACAGGACAGAAGUCUGGAUUCACGCGGGGUCAUCAUGAAGAUCUGUUUUCAGGGAAAGUAAAACAGCAUCUCCAGCCCAUAGUGGAGGGUGUGUGAAGAGUGACUGGUCCAUGGAUUCUCCUCUAAACUUCAGCAGUGGAGGAGGAAGCUCUGGGUCACGAACUGAAACCCAGAGAGCAGCUUCUCCAGUCCCCAGUGGAGUGUCUAUGCAGAGUGACCGUUCACUGGGUCCUCCUCCUAACUUCAGUGGUGAAGCUGUGACCGCUGACCCAAAAGAGAAGAAAAAAAACAUUUUCUGGGAAAAUUUGGACAGUAUAUUCAAGGAGCUGCAGCAUAAAUGUAUCUCUCUAGUGAAGAGCGAGCUGAACACAUUUAAGAAGCUCCUGAGUACAGAUGACCCAGCAUGCUCUGAGAAAGAGGUGGAGGAUGAUCAGAGAGAGGGGGUGCUGAAGAUCACACUGCAUAUCCUGAGGAACAUGAAGCAGACAGACCUCGCCAACACACUAGAGAGCCGUAAGAGUUACCAUGGGUAACAACAUGGUGCUAAUUGACUUCAUUUACUUCAAGUCAAAGUUCUCAAAAAG
rnacentral:lncRNA from 1 species